rnacentral:rRNA from 1 species
AUGAUGCCCCAGCCGCAGCCCGGCGUCGUCCCGCCGCAGUGGGGCGCCAUCCCACCGCCCAUGCCGCCUCACCACCUCUACGCGCCGCCGCCCCCGCAGAUGUGGGGCCAGCCGCUGCCGCCCCAGCAGGCAGCGUAUGGGCAGCAGGCCGCGUACUACGGCCGGCCGGCUGCCCCGACGCAGGCGCCCGCUGGGCCCAACGAGGUCAGGACACUCUGGUUAGGGGACCUGCAGUACUGGAUGGACGAGAACUACGUCUACAAUUGCUUCGCGAGCACCGGCGAGGUGCAAUCUGUGAAGCUGAUUCGGGACAAGCAGACUGGACAACUUCAAGGUUAUGGCUUCAUUGAAUUCACAAGCCGUGCUGGCGCUGAAAGAGCUCUUCAGACAUUCAACGGGGCAAUGAUGCCAAAUGCUGAGAUGGCAUACAGAUUGAACUGGGCGACUGCUGGUGGAAAACAUGAUGAUGGCGCUGAUUACACAAUAUUUGUUGGUGAUUUGGCUGCUGAUGUCACAGACUACGUAUUGCAAGAGACAUUUAGGGUCCAGUAUCCCUCUGUUAAGGGUGCAAAAGUUGUAACGGAUAAACUGACAAUGCGCCCAAAGGGCUAUGGCUUUGUGAAAUUUGGUGAUCCCACGGAGCAAACUCGUGCAAUGACUGAAAUGAAUGGGAGGCUCUGUUCUUCAAGGCCCAUGCGUAUCGGACCAGCUGCAAAUAAGCAAAAAGCAACUGGAGUUCAAGAGAAAGUACCAAGUUCUCAGGGGGUUCAGACUGACAAUGAUCCUAGCAAUUCCACUAUAUUUGUUGGUGGCCUUGACCCCAACGCUACUGAGGAUGUUUUGAAACAAGUUUUCACUCCAUAUGGUGAUGUGGUCCAUGUUAAGAUACCUGUUGGCAAAAGAUGUGGUUUUGUUCAAUAUGCUAGCAGAUCCUCUGCGGAGGAAGCCCUGCUAAUACUGCAAGGUACCAUGAUUGGAGGGCAGAACGUGAGGCUUUCAUGGGGUCGAAGCCCUUCAAACAAACAAGUUCAGUCUCAACAGGACUUCAACCACUGGGGUGGUGCUACUGCUAAUGCUGGCUACUAUGGCUACGCACAAGGCUACGGGGCUUAUGGAUAUGCUGCUACUCAACCUCAGGACCCAAACAUGUAUGGGUAUGGGACAUAUGCUGGCUACCCAAACUAUCCACAACAAGUAGCACAGCAGCCGCAGCAGGAACCUGUAAAAUCUUCGCUAAAUGUAGAUGCCGUCUGA